rnacentral:rRNA from 1 species
ACGGCUCAGUAACACGUAGACAACCUACCCUAUGGAGGGGGAUAACCCCGGGAAACUGGGGAUAAUACCCCAUAGACUAUGAAUGCUGGAAUGCUUUGUAGUUGAAAGGUCCGCCGCCAUAGGAUGGGUCUGCGGCCGAUUAGGUUGUUGUUGGGGUAACGGCCCAACAAGCCUGUAAUCGGUACGGGUUGUGGGAGCAAGAGCCCGGAGAUGGAUUCUGAGACACGAAUCCAGGCCCUACGGGGCGCAGCAGGCGCGAAAACUUUACAAUGCGGGAAACCGUGAUAAGGGAACUCCGAGUGCCCGUAAAAUCGGGCUGUCCAUCUGUUUAAAUAACAGGUGAAGAAAGGGCCGGGCAAGACCGGUGCCAGCCGCCGCGGUAAUACCGGCGGCUCGAGUGGUGGCCACUAUUACUGGGCCUAAAGCGUUCGUAGCUGGUCUGUUAAGUCUCUGGGGAAAUCUACUGGCUUAACCAAUAGGCGUUUCAGGGAUACUGGCAGACUAGGGACCGGGAGAGGUGAGGGGUACUCCAGGGGUAGGAGUGAAAUCCUGUAAUCCUUGGGGGACCACCUGUGGCGAAGGCGCCUCACCAGAACGGCUCCGACAGUGAGGGACGAAAGCUGGGGGAGCAAACCGGAUUAGAUACCCGGGUAGUCCCAGCCGUAAACGAUGCGCGUUAGGUGUAUCGGUGACCACGAGUCACCGAGGUGCCGAAGAGAAAUCGUGAAACGUGCCGCCUGGGAAGUACGGUCGCAAGGCUGAAACUUAAAGGAAUUGGCGGGGGAG